rnacentral:rRNA from 1 species
UAGGGAAUAUUGGACAAUGGGGGCAACCCUGAUCCAGCCAUGCCGCGUGAGUGAAGAAGGCCCUCGGGUUGUAAAGCUCUUUUGUCCGGAAAGAAAAGCAUUCGGUGAAUACCCGGAUGUUCUGACGGUACCGGAAGAAUAAGCACCGGCUAACUUCGUGCCAGCAGCCGCGGUAAUACGAAGGGUGCAAGCGUUACUCGGAAUUACUGGGCGUAAAGCGUGCGUAGGUGGUUGUUUAAGUCUGAUGUGAAAGCCCUGGGCUCAACCUGGGGAUGGCAUUGGAAACUGGGCAGCUAGAGUGCGGUAGAGGGUAGUGGAAUUCCCGGUGUAGCAGUGAAAUGCGUAGAGAUCGGGAGGAACAUCUGUGGCGAAGGCGACUGCCUGGACCAGCACUGACACUGAGGCACGAAAGCGCGGGGAGCAAACA